CCCUUAGAUGUCCUGGGCCGCACGCGCGCUACACUGAGUGUCUGAGAUACGAGUCUGCCUGGUCCGGCAAGGUCUAGGUAAUCGCUAAAAGACACAUCAUGCUUGGGAUAGAUUAUUGCAAAUAUUAAUCUUGAACGAGGAAUUCCUAGUAAGCGCAAGUCAACAGCUUGCGUUGAUUACGUCCCUGCCCUUUGUACACACCGCCCGUCGCACCUACCGAUUGGAUGUUCCGGUGAAGCCUCGGGAUGAGGACUGGUGCCUUUAUUGGCAUGAGUUGUUCAGAACUUGUCUAAACCUUAUCAUCUAGAGGAAGGUGAAGUCGUAACA
rnacentral:rRNA from 1 species